UUACAAAUAAAACAUAUAUAGCAACAUAAGAAAUACGAACGAGUCCAAAAUUGAAAUGAAACGAUGCCUGUAAACACCUAUUUCUUAGUUUGGCUAGCUUUACGAGAUUUUAUUAUUUUAUUUUGAUCUCGUGGUCUAUUUGGUCUGAGCUACCGAACGGGGAAGGAUUUGUCACUAGUUCAUGAAUAUCUCGGCAAGAGAUCAGACCGAGGCUCUACUGACUGGUCUAGUAUUUUUCCGACUUGUGUUUUGUGCUGUUUUCGGAUUCCUUGUCGCCGGAUGUCUAUGCAUCUCGUGCAUGGACAAUCCUUUUUGCGACAGGAACAAUUCCUCGCAGGAGUCACAUUUAAAUUUGGCCUCCGAUACUUUAGGUGCCUUACACUUGGGAUUAUGUCAAAGAUGAUCCGUUCAAUACGCGAAUUGAUUAUUCCGGAUUCUUUCUCAAAAAGUAUGACAUCUUUUGAAAAAAACGUAGAUGUAGAAUAAGAUGAUCAACCAAAGACGAACGAAGACAAUGGAACGAAGAAAUGGAAACGAAUAGAGAUACGAUGAAUGCAGAAAUAUUGAGAGAUAUAGGGUGAAAUGCUGAGAAAAGGAAAAGAGAAAAGGAGAAGAGGACAUAGAGAACGAUGAGGACAUAGAGCGCGAAAGAAAGAGAAGAAAGGAAGAACGAUAAGAGAUGGGAAAGAGAAGAGCGGUUCGCGCGAAGCGAAUGACUGCGAUUUGUCCAAUUAUCGGUUGGCACCGAAAAUGCUGGGUCUGGCUCACCUGCCAAAUGGGAAAUAGCCGGCGAACUGCGGAGCAACAAGCUACAGCCUACUACAUGGCUCUACGAAUUCUGUGCGCGGAAAUCUUUGGAUUGUAUUUUCUAUUCUCUCACUGGCUACGGUAUGAAUAAGGGGAGUAUAGAAGCCGCUCGUGCGACGUAAACGACAAUCGCCGAAUUAUAAUUUGACUUUCUAUAAUUUUUUCCCUUCCGGUGUCUUCUCUCAUAUGGACUCCGGCCUUUGUUAAGAAUCGAUAACGAAUGAGAUUCGUUGGGAUUAGGACUCACGAAUCGUUUCAUCGAAUAAUGAAAUAUAUCACAUAUAAUUUUCUAAUAUGCGUCAUAUAUUAUAGUUAUUGUACACAGUUUAUAUAUUAAUGAUUCGAUGAUUAAUUCGAAAUUUGAAAAUUGGAAAUCAUUUUUUUGUUCGAUUUUGCAUAAUUUCGAGAGACACGAUCCGUAAAAUUCUAAUAAUUUUAAUCUCAUUUUCCAUAAAUUUUAAUUACCAUACUUGUAAGAAUCUUUGUUAUUCUCUCGAAUAAUUAUGAUUUGUAUUUUUUAUACGAUUAUUUUAUACGUAUUAUUACUUUUUGUAAAAAGUUUAAAAUUUUUACCGAUCGAUUGUUUCUUUCAUUCUUUGCUCUUGUAUCGUUCUCAUGUGAGCUAUAACGUGCACUGAGAUGGGUAAAUGAUAUCAUUAACGAAGUUAAAGUGCUGACGCGUUGAGAAUAACUCAAACCGUUGACCCACAAUUUUCUCAGUCAAGAUUCUUCACCUUUCGAGAUCGAUACAUCCAUUUCCGAUAUCCCGCACCCUAUCGCCAUAAGGUUAAACGGAGCACUGGUGGCUAUUCUAAAACGAAUUACAUUCGUCCUCGUAUCAAUUUUCAUGAAAAGGCAAAAUUAUCGCGAGCCUCGAGAAUUCAGAAUUGAAUUCACCAGUGUGCAGGAAGCAAUGGCGAAAUAGCUCGCUCCGCUACGAGGCUGCUGGCCUCCGAAUGAUGUAUUAAAAGUAACUGUGGCCAAUAAAAAUCAAGCGUUUUCUUUGGCCCUUAUGAUUUGUGGCCGAUAAAUCAAAAGACCGCAUUUCUUACAUACACCGUUCACCAGCCGGAAAUACGAUCGUUGAAUAAGUGCGUACGCGUAUACGCGUGCGUAUGCUCUUUUGCUAUUUCUUCAACGCGUGAAUAACCAGGAAAGGAAGGAAAAGAAAGAGAGACUUGAAAAAUUGUGAAAAAAAGGAAAAAAAAAGAAAAGAAAAGAAGAGAAGACACCUAUCGCCAGGAAAACUUUGAAAUUGUUUCGAAAUGUUGAAUCGCAAUCUCAUUCUGAUUGUUUGUUGCGAUGAAUGAUUUGAUUACCGGAAAACUUAUCAUUCCUACUCUCAGCGGAAGGCAAUUUAUACACAUAUACGUAUAAAAUAAAUAGGCUUCUAUAUAAUAAUAGCAAUCAUUUUCUGUAAUUAUCUCGAAAAUGAAUACCAACUAUAUAUGCAGAAAAUAAUUAUACAUAUCGGUAUACAGUAGACUUCUGGAUCCGAAAAGAGAUCGGAUAGUGGAAUUUUCGGAUAAUAAAACAUUUAAAAAAAAAUUACUUUUUUUGCAUAAAACUUCAUUUAUUCAAAUAAAAAUGAAAAAAAUUGACAAUUUCUUUUAACAUCUAAGGAUUCUAUA